CCAGACUCCUACGGGAGGCAGCAGUGGGGAAUAUUGGGCAAUGGAGGAAACUCUUACCCAGCAAUGCCGCGUGAAUGAAGAAGGUCUUCGGAUUGUAAAGUUCUUUAAUUGGGGACGAAAAAAAUGACGGUACCCAAGGAAUAAGCCCCGGCUAACUACGUGCCAGCAGCCGCGGUAAUACGUAGGGAGCGAGCGUUGUCCGGAAUUACUGGGUGUAAAGGGAGCGUAGGCGGGCGAGAAAGUUGAAUGUUAAAUCUACCGGCUUAACUGGUAGCUGCGUUCAAAACUUCUUGUCUUGAGUGAAGUAGAGGCGGGCGGAAUUCCUAGUGUAGCGGUGAAAUGCGUAGAUAUUAGGAGGAACACCAGUGGCGAAGGCGGCCUGCUGGGCUUUAACUGACGCUGAGGCUCGAAAGCGUGGGGAGCAAACAGGAUUAGAUACCCCUGUA
rnacentral:rRNA from 1 species